CUCUUGACAUCCAGCGAACUUUCCAGAGAUGGAUUGGUGGCCUUCGGGAACGCUGAGACAGGUGCUGCAUGGCUGUCGUCAGCUCGUGUUGUGAAAGUGUUCGGGUUAAGUCCCGCAACGAGCGUAACCCUUAUCCUUUGUUGCCAGCGAUUCGGUCGGGAACUCAAAGGAGACUGCCGGUGAUAAACCGGAGGAAGGUGGGGAUGACGUCAAGUCAUCAUGGCCCUUACGAGUAGGGCUACACACGUGCUACAAUGGCGCAUACAAAGAGAAGCGACCUCGCGAGAGCAAGCGGACCUCAUAAAGUGCGUCGUAGUCCGGAUCGGAGUCUGCAACUCGACUCCGUGAAGUCGGAAUCGCUAGUAAUCGUGGAUCAGAAUGCCACGGUGAAUACGUUCCCGGGCCUUGUACACACCGCCCGUCACACCAUGGGAGUGGGUUGCAAAAGAAGUAGGUAGCUUAACCUCCGGGAGGGCGCUUACCACUUUGUGAUUCAUGACUGGGGUGAAGUCGUAACAAGGUAAGCGUACGUGU
rnacentral:rRNA from 1 species